rnacentral:lncRNA from 1 species
AUUUGAUAUGUUUUUCACUGAUAAGAUUAUGAGUUACUGUCCUCAUGGUUUCCAGAGACUGGCUGAAAUAAUUGUUUUUGUGUUAACUGUUUACAAAAAAGUAAUUAAAUUGUGUCUUGUUUACUGUUGGUUUAGCAUGAUCCCAUCCCUAUGUAUGCCUUGUCCAGUCACAUGCCAUUUGCCACUGUGGACCUCUGAACUGCUCUGAUGCUAAAUGCCCUUAACUGUCCAUGCCCCACCUGAUAGAGAACAAGGACUUUGUUUUACUUCCCCCAACUUUGCCCCCUUUCAGCAGAAAGCAAUUUGGAGAUGUCAUUGCCCAUUUUUCCAUAGAAAUGGAAUGUAGAAAUUGACAGUGGGGAAAUGUAACAAUGGUCCAUUUUGUGCUUUGAAUAUAGUCCUUGCUGCUUAGCC